CAGUAGCCACGGUAAUACCGAGGGUGCAAGCGUUAAUCGGAAUUACUGGGCGUAAAGCGCGCGUAGGUGGUUUGUUAAGUUGGAUGUGAAAUCCCCGGGCUCAACCUGGGAACUGCAUCCAAAACUGGCAAGCUAGAGUAUGGUAGAGGGUGGUGGAAUUUCCUGUGUAGCGGUGAAAUGCGUAGAUAUAGGAAGGAACACCAGUGGCGAAGGCGACCACCUGGACUGAUACUGACACUGAGGUGCGAAAGCGUGGGGAGCAAACAGGAUUAGAUACCCCCGUAGUCCCUGUCUCUUAUAA
rnacentral:rRNA from 1 species